AGCGCCAAAAUAAUAUUGACGAAUAAGGCUUUAAUUAUUAAUUCGAAAAUUUUAACAGCAUGCUUUGGCGUUUUUGUUUAUAUCUUGUGGAGAAAAUUUAUUUCGUUAUUUGUCAGAGAUAGUGUCAGCUGCUGUUUCUACUGUGUAACCAGUGUGAAGCGGAAACAAAAACUUUAAAAUGGAUGGACCAGCACUCGGACGUUAGAACUGGCAGCUAGCAGGUUUGCCGGAGCAGCAUUUCACUUUGUCCCUUCAGUGAUAAUUCGAAUUUGAUACAGUUACUGAUAAGUAACUAAUUGCUGGGCCCUCGAAUUGGAAGAAGAGGAAUAAUAAGAAUUACUUCGCUACAAAUUGUCCACCCUGCCUGUGAAGGAUAUCCAGGAACUGCUUAGAGCCCUCCCAACCUUCGAAGAAUGUGGCUGAAGCUGAUGCCAUCAAUUUAGACCCUAAAAUGAGACGCAUGUCAAAUUACCGUGUUGAAACACCUGUCCUCGCAAACCAACUGGUACUACUGGUAGGUGCCAGAUAUCCGAAGGGCUCAACAGAAUGUAACUAAGGAAAUUUUACUAUUUUCGACAAUGCCCGACCCUGUCUUCGAAUUACUUUUUUUUUUAUCCCGAUUGCGGUCGUGAGGAACUUUCACUUCCGCACCUAUACCUGCUGCCGCGUAUCGGGGCUGAAUCAUCUAAAGU